GGUUGAUCCUGCCAGUAGUCAUAUGCUUGUCUCAAAGAUUAAGCCAUGCAUGUCUAAGUACAGGCUUUGGUACAGCGAAACCGCGAAUGGCUCAUUAAAUCAGCUAUAAUUUAUUAGAUUGUUCUUUACUUGGAUAACUGUGGGAAUUCUAGAGCUAAUACAUGCACAAAAGCUCCGACCUUCGGGAAGGAGUGCAGUUAUUAGACCAAAACCAGCCGAGCUUCGGCUCGAACUGUUUGGUGACUCUGGAUAACAUGAGCGGAUCGCAUGGCCUUGAGCCGGCGACGUAUCUUUCAAGUGUCUGACCUAUCAACUGACGAUGGUACGCGAUAUGCCUACCAUGGUGAUAACGGGUAACGGAGAAUAGGGGUUCGACUCCGGAGAGGGAGCCUGAGAAAUGGCUACCACAUCCAAGGAUGGCAGCAGGCGCGCAAAUUACCCACUCUCAGUACGAGGAGGUAGUGACGAAAAAUAACAAUGCGGGACUCAUCAGAGGCCUCGCAAUUGGAAUGAGCGCACUUUAAAUCGUUCGACGAGGAUCUAUUGGAGGGCAAGUCUGGUGCCAGCAGCCGCGGUAAUUCCAGCUCCAAUAGCGUAUAUUAAAGUUGUUGCAGUUAAAAAGCUCGUAGUUGGAUCUGGGGUUCGGGUCGGCGGUUUGCCGCUUCGGCGGCUACUGCCGUGCUCGACUCUUACUAGCCGGUGCGUCUUGCGGUGCUCUUCAUCGAGUGCCGUAGGAGCCUGGCAUGUUUACUUUGAAAAAAUUAGAGUGCUCAAAGCAGGCGAUUCCGCCUGAAUAGUGUUGCAUGGAAUAAUGGAAUAGGACCUCGGUUCUAUUUUGUUGGUUUUCGGAACUUGAGGUAAUGAUUAAGAGGGACGGUCGGGGGCAUUCGUAUUUCGGUGUUAGAGGUGAAAUUCUUGGAUCGCUGAAAGACGGACAAAUGCGAAAGCAUCUGCCAAGAACGUCUCCAUUAAUCAAGAACGAAAGUCAGAGGUUCGAAGACGAUCAGACACCGUCCUAGUUCUGACCAUAAACGAUGCCAACUAGCGAUCCGCAGUGGUUGCUAUAAACGGACUCUGCGAGCAGCUUCCGGGAAACCAAAGUGUUUGGGUUCCGGGGGAAGUAUGGUUGCAAAGCUGAAACUUAAAGGAAUUGACGGAAGGGCACCACCAGGAGUGGAGCCUGCGGCUUAAUUUGACUCAACACGGGGAAACUCACCCGGUCCGGACACUGUAAGGAUUGACAGAUCGAGAGCUCUUUCUUGAUUCGGUGGAUGGUGGUGCAUGGCCGUUCUUAGUUGGUGGAGUGAUUUGUCUGGUUAAUUCCGAUAACGAACGAGGCUCUAGCCUGCUAACUAGUUGCGCCGUGUUCAUACGCGGCUGUAGACUUCUUAGAGGGACAGGUGGCGUUUAGCCACACGAAAU
rnacentral:rRNA from 1 species